AGGCAUUUUUUGAAGCUCGAGAUAGCUGGGUGACUUGCUUUGAUCACUGAACUGUGUCUGAAGAGGAUAAUAUCAUUAUGAACAGUGAUAAAGGAAGACCCAGGGAUCCAGUCACACAAUUUCUCCUGAAUCUGACAAGACAACACUCUCCCCACAUCCUGAGAAUGGCAGAGAGGAGCUGCACCAUGUGGCUAACAAGUUGUUCUUGGGGAGGCUGCACUCCUGGCUCCUCCUCAGCUUGCCUUCUCCUGCCUCAGUUUUUAGGGACCACCGCAGAGCCAACAGACUGAGGAGUUCUGCACUGCAGUGAAGGUUCCCACUUCUCUACACCCUGAACUUUAAGCAAUUAUUAAAUACUGUAAAAGAACUAUAGUCAGCUAAGUAAGAGCUGAGCACAAUGUCACCUUUGUUUGCAUACAGUUACUACUCUCAAAGACAUCAGAUAAUUUUACUUCAACUUCCUGUCAGGAUAGAUUGCACAUCCCAGGGAAGUAUUACCCAACACCUGGGAGGCAUAGGUAACUCUGCCAGUUGCAGGCCUGCCUGGUCUAUAUAGUCAGUUCCUGGCCAGCCACAUCCUUCCUUCAAUAAAAGAUAUACUAGAAAGAUAUCUACAAUUAAUUCUUUGCCAAAAAUAAUUGUGUUGGGCAAGGCCAUAAAAACAAAUUUAAAGCUAGGCAGUGGUGGCACACGUCUUUAAUCCCAGCACUUGGGAGGCAGAGGCAAGAGGAUUUCUGAGUUCAAGGACAGCCUAGUCUACAGAGUGAGCUCCAGGACAGCCAG
rnacentral:lncRNA from 1 species